UCUAGGCAGAACAGUAAUUUCUGUACAUUGAGUAACGUCCAACGCUUUCAGUUUGAAAUAUAAGGCAAUGCAAACAUGACAAGGGUAAAUGAGGAUGAAGAGGACCAAACGGAUGAAGAGAGUCUGCUGAAAAAGCUGGUGUUGGUUCUACCGCUGCUUGGAAGUGCCAACCUAAAAGGAGAGAGAAUGCUGCAAAGAUCUACAGUUUCCAUCUCAAGCCGUUUACGAUAAGUAUAGCCUAGAAAGUAUCUUGGACAUACACAUCAUCUAUGUGAGUGGAUGUUUUGUCAGCUGACAUUGGUUGAACCCACCUCAGCUGGCGAGUGAGGGAGGAACUGUACCAGGAGCCUGCUUUGCCUCUCCUGGGUGUGAUAAUUUAUGGUUCGGGUGCAUAAAUACUACGAAGAGGAUAAACUGUAAUCCAUUUCACAAAAAUGGAAAGAGCUGAGCUAACAAGAGGAUCUUUACUCUGCAUUCAUCCACCAACAUGGUUUAAAAAAAGAAGAAAAAAGGUCAGGGGGAGAUAUCAGCAAGAUUUGGCAUGGCAUUCCACCGAGUUCCACUCCAUGCAGCUCAUUCUGACUUUGUUAAUGAAUGCACUUAUCUUCUCAGGACUGACGUGAUUGGGGAUUUGCAAACGGAGUUGUUGGAAAACAGUUUAUGUGAAUGUUUCUGAAGUUACAGGAACAACAGAACAGUAAAUGAGAGCAAAUACACUGCAAAUUUGGUCAAAUUAAAGAAGUUUAGCAGCAGCCUGGCAGAGAGCAGUGUACAGAGUCAGGGCAAUGAUGUUAUGCAAGCUGAUGCAUUAUGCAAUUUAAAAAUAUUUCACUUUUUAAAAUAUUUUGCAAGCCUUUAUGACUGUGUAACCAUAAACUAAUACAAUUAUUAUUUUUAUAUUUCAGUUUUAUUCAGCUGUUCUUAGUGAGUGGUCUAUUACUACACAAGAAACUUUUUUUUUUCAAGCAAUAUUGUUAUCACAAUAGGAUAACUUUUUAAAUAUUGUACUGCAUAGUCUACAUAUAAUGUUAGCACAUUGUGAAUUUCCUAGUACCAUGCAGGCCUAACCCUAACAAAAUAUCAAUGUUGUAUGAAUAUGUAAGAAUUCAUACAGGUUUCAUCAGAAAAGUUAAAAGGACAAAAAAAUUAAAUUACCUUAAAUGUAUUUUUGACACACGACGUACUGUAUGCAGCAAUAUCAGUGUAAGAGGAUUAAAGCAGUCAUUCAUUGAU